rnacentral:lncRNA from 1 species
CUCGUCCUGAAGUGCGGAUGUAGCCACCAUGGCGGCCAGUCAGAGGCGGGACCCGGCAUUUCCGGCGAGUUGAGAAAUGGCGGCGCACGUGGACACGGCAGCCCCGGAGACCCGUUCGUGGGGAUGGCCUCGCUCUGAGGGGACUGUCGGAGUCAGACGCCAAGGGGCAGGAGCCCAGCCCUGACUGGGUUCUUCAGCAUGGAGCAGAAGGUCAGGGAUGCCGACCCCUCAGCAAGUGAA